rnacentral:rRNA from 1 species
CCUACGGGUGGCAGCAGUGAGGAAUAUUGGUCAAUGGACGAGAGUCUGAACCAGCCAAGUAGCGUGAAGGAUGACUGCCCUAUGGGUUGUAAACUUCUUUUAUAUGGGAAUAAAAUGUUCCACGUGUGGGAUUUUGUAUGUACCAUAUGAAUAAGGAUCGGCUAACUACGUGCCAGCAGCCGCGGUAAUACGGAGGAUCCGAGCGUUAUCCGGAUUUAUUGGGUUUAAAGGGAGCGUAGGUGGAUGGUUAAGUCAGUUGUGAAAGUUUGGGGCUCAACCGUAAAAUUGCAGUUGAAACUGGAAGUCUGGAGUACAGUAGAGGUGGGUGGAAUUCGUGGUGUAGCGGUGAAAUGCGUAGAUAUUACGAAGAACUCCGAUGGCGAAGGCAGCUCACUGGACUGUAACUGACAUUGAGGCUCGAAAGUGUGGGGAUCAAACAGGAUUAGAUACCCGAGUAGUC